AGGAAGUUCUUUCCUUUGUUUAUAUGAUGACUCUGAGUGCAUUUGGCUCGAGACCUUUUUGGUCGGUGUGGAAAAUUCCAAGCUACCUAUACAUUAUUUUGUCUGAUC
rfam:Zygosaccharomyces rouxii strain CBS732 chromosome C complete sequence.